AUUGAACGCUGGCGGCAUGCCUUACACAUGCAAGUCGAACGGUAACAGGUCUUCGGAUGCUGACGAGUGGCGAACGGGUGAGUAAUACAUCGGAACGUGCCCGAUCGUGGGGGAUAACGAGGCGAAAGCUUUGCUAAUACCGCAUACGAUCUACGGAUGAAAGCGGGGGAUCUUCGGACCUCGCGCGGACGGAGCGGCCGAUGGCAGAUUAGGUAGUUGGUGGGAUAAAAGCUUACCAAGCCGACGAUCUGUAGCUGGUCUGAGAGGAUGAUCAGCCACACUGGGACUGAGACACGGCCCAGACUCCUACGGGAGGCAGCAGUGGGGAAUUUUGGACAAUAGGCGAAAGCCUGAUCCAGCCAUGCCGCGUGCAGGAUGAAGGCCUUCGGGUUGUAAACUGCUUUUGUACGGAAAGAAAAGCCUCUUUCUAAUAAAGAGGGGUCAUGACGGUACCGUAAGAAUAAGCACCGGCUAACUACGUG
rnacentral:rRNA from 1 species